GACGAACGCUGGCGGCGUGCUUAACACAUGCAAGUCGAACGGAAAGGUCCUGCUUUUGUGGGGUGCUCGAGUGGCGAACGGGUGAGUAACACGUGAGUAACCUGCCCUUGACUUUGGGAUAACUUCAGGAAACUGGGGCUAAUACCGGAUAGGAGCUCCUGCUGCAUGGUGGGGGUUGGAAAGUUUCGGCGGUUGGGGAUGGACUCGCGGCUUAUCAGCUUGUUGGUGGGGUAGUGGCUUACCAAGGCUUUGACGGGUAGCCGGCCUGAGAGGGUGACCGGCCACAAUGGGACUGAGAUACGGCCCAGACUCCUACGGGAGGCAGCAGUGGGGAAUAUUGCACAAUGGGCGGAAGCCUGAUGCAGCAACGCCGCGUGCGGGAUGACGGCCUUCGGGUUGUAAACCGCUUUCGCCUGUGACGAAGCGUGAGUGACGGUAAUGGGUAAAGAAGCACCGGCUAACUACGUG
rnacentral:rRNA from 1 species